GUCUGUCCAUCUCCCACCGUCUGUUUGUCCCUGACCACACUGCCCUCUUCCUCGGGAUCCUAUUUCCUCGUUCAUUCCUGGAGGCAGAUGAGCCACACCAGAAGGCUGGAGACUAUGUACCACUUCUACCUUGACCCCACAGCCUCCAAGGGUUGACCAGAUGUCCUGAAGACCUCCAAGGACUGAAAUCCAUGGGAUCAUCCCAGGGCCCCGUGGUUGGACCUCUGCAGCAGACUCUCAGAGGUUGUCGGUGCAACAGGACUUGAGAGACGGGCAACUUAUCUUCAGCACGCAGUCCUUCAACUGGUCCAGUGAAGGCAUCUGUGUCCUCUUGGCAUUAGAGAGAUGGGGAGAGAGACACCAUUCUUCCCAGUGGCCUGGG